rnacentral:sRNA from 4 species
UCGACUCGAGCGAAGCGAGAGAACGUUGCGUCAGCAACGGCCCGCAGGGCGAGUCACGCAGUGGCGAGUCAUCCUCUAUCACCGACCA